GAGAAGGCAAGGAGACUCCUGCGAGAUCUGAAGGGCCUUGGGGUUGAGAGGGGAGUUUUUGAAGAAGGAGCAGAGAAGACUUUCACCAUAGGGAAAGAGUGUGAGCAGGCAGGAGCCGUACUGAAGAAAGAGACUUUGCUUUCCCUGGAUCUCCCAAGAUCUACAGGAUCUUUCUUGAUGGUUGUAAAAGGACCACAGGGGAUGCAAACCCACCAGGACACUAGUGAAAAUGCCGAGGGGAUGGAGGACAAGUGUUGGAGACUCACCACCAAGCAGUACCUGAGUGUUUCUGUCAAACUCUCACUCAUCUUGAAAUGAGCUUAGCCAGUUUGUUAUAGGAAGAAAAAAGGCUUAUGCAUCUAAGACACUACAUCUGGAGUCAAAGCCACCUUUCCCCACUCCUGUGACUUCAGACAAGUAACAUAUCUUUCCCUUGCUCCACUCUUAGACAAAAUAAGAACAACAAAAUUUGCCUGUGAUUUGUCUCUGCCCGAAGUUAAGUCAAGACCAUCUCAGCUGGAGUCAAUGGUUUUGCAAGGAUGUGAAAACAGGUGAAAUAUAAUGAUCGGUUACAAGUCUAAUUAGGGUUAAGGUAUCCCUGGCUGUGCUUACACCUCGCUGUGUAUAUAAUACCUGACACACUACAUCACAGUCUCGGCUGGAGUCAUUAGAUGGUCGUAAUUAAUUAACAUGGCUGUGUUUACUGUUUUCCAUAUAUAACAUUAAACUCUCCUAAUAGCAGAA